AGUGAACGCUGGCGGUAGACCUAACACAUGCAAGUCGAACGGCAGCACAGUAAGAGCUUGCUCUUACGGGUGGCGAGUGGCGGACGGGUGAGGAAUACAUCGGAAUCUACUUUUUCGUGGGGGAUAACGUAGGGAAACUUACGCUAAUACCGCAUACGACCUACGGGUGAAAGCAGGGGAUCUUCGGACCUUGCGCGAUUGAAUGAGCCGAUGUCGGAUUAGCUAGUUGGCGGGGUAAAGGCCCACCAAGGCGACGAUCCGUAGCUGGUCUGAGAGGAUGAUAGGCCACACUGGAACUGAGACACGGUCCAGACUCCUACGGGAGGCAGCAGUGGGGAAUAUUGGACAAUGGGCGCAAGCCUGAUCCAGCCAUACAGCGUGGGUGAAGAAGGCCUUCGGGUUGUAAAGCCCUUUUGUUGGGAAAGAAAAGCAGCAGGUUAAUACCCCGCUGUUCUGACGGUACCCAAAGAAUAAGCACCGGCUAACUUCGUG
rnacentral:rRNA from 1 species